rnacentral:rRNA from 1 species
AUUGAACGCUGGCGGCAGGCCUAACACAUGCAAGUCGAACGGUAACAGGAAGCAGCUUGCUGCUUUGCUGACGAGUGGCGGACGGGUGAGUAAUGUCUGGGAAACUGCCUGAUGGAGGGGGAUAACUACUGGAAACGGUAGCUAAUACCGCAUAACGUCGCAAGACCAAAGAGGGGGACCUUAGGGCCUCUUGCCAUCGGAUGUGCCCAGAUGGGAUUAGCUAGUAGGUGGGGUAACGGCUCACCUAGGCGACGAUCCCUAGCUGGUCUGAGAGGAUGGCCAGCCACACUGGAACUGAGACACGGUCCAGACUCCUACGGGAGGCAGCAGUGGGGAAUAUUGCACAAUGGGCGCAAGCCUGAUGCAGCCAUGCCGCGUGUAUGAAGAAGGCCUUCGGGUUGUAAAGUACUUUCAGCGGGGAGGAAGGGAGUAAAGUUAAUACCUUUGCUCAUUGACGUUACCCGCAGAAGAAGCACCGGCUAACUCCGUG